rnacentral:rRNA from 1 species
UUAAGUUAUUAAGGGCGCACGGUGGAUGCCUUGGCACUAGAAGCCGAUGAAGGACGUUACUAACAACGAUAUGCUUUGGGGAGCUGUAAGUAAGCUUUGAUCCAGAGAUUUCCGAAUGGGGAAACCCAGCAUGAGUUAUGUCAUGUUAUCGAUAUGUGAAUACAUAGCAUAUCAGAAGGCACACCCGGAGAACUGAAACAUCUUAGUACCCGGAGGAAGAGAAAGAAAAUUCGAUUCCCUUAGUAGCGGCGAGCGAAACGGGAAGAGCCCAAACCAACAACCUUGCUUGUUGGGGUUGUAGGACACUCUAUACGGAGUUACAAAGGACGACAUUAGACGAAUCAUCUGGAAAGAUGAAUCAAAGAAGGUAAUAAUCCUGUAGUCGAAAAUGUUGUCUCUCUUGAGUGGAUCCUGAGUACGACGGAGCACGUGAAAUUCCGUCGGAAUCUGGGAGGACCAUCUCCUAAGGCUAAAUACUCUCUAGUGACCGAUAGUGAACCAGUACCGUGAGGGAAAGGUGAAAAGCACCCCGGAAGGGGAGUGAAAUAGAACCUGAAACCGUGUGCUUACAAGUAGUCAGAGCCCGUUAAUGGGUGAUGGCGUGCCUUUUGUAGAAUGAACCGGCGAGUUACGAUUUGAUGCAAGGUUAAGCAGUAAAUGUGGAGCCGUAGCGAAAGCGAGUCUGAAUAGGGCGUUUAGUAUUUGGUCGUAGACCCGAAACCAGGUGAUCUACCCUUGGUCAGGUUGAAGUUCAGGUAACACUGAAUGGAGGACCGAACCGACUUACGUUGAAAAGUGAGCGGAUGAACUGAGGGUAGCGGAGAAAUUCCAAUCGAACCUGGAGAUAGCUGGUUCUCUCCGAAAUAGCUUUAGGGCUAGCCUCAAGUGAUGAUUAUUGGAGGUAGAGCACUGUUUGGACGAGGGGCCCCUCUCGGGUUACCGAAUUCAGACAAACUCCGAAUGCCAAUUAAUUUAACUUGGGAGUCAGAACAUGGGUGAUAAGGUCCNNNNNNNNNNNNNNNNNNNNNNNNNNNNNNNNNNNNNNNNNNNNNNNNNNNNNNNNUGUUCGAAAGGGAAACAGCCCAGACCACCAGCUAAGGUCCCAAAAUAUAUGUUAAGUGGAAAAGGAUGUGGCGUUGCCCAGACAACUAGGAUGUUGGCUUAGAAGCAGCCAUCAUUUAAAGAGUGCGUAAUAGCUCACUAGUCGAGUGACACUGCGCCGAAAAUGUACCGGGGCUAAACAUAUUACCGAAGCUGUGGAUUGUCCUUUGGACAAUGGUAGGAGAGCGUUCUAAGGGCGUUGAAGCAUGAUCGUAAGGACAUGUGGAGCGCUUAGAAGUGAGAAUGCCGGUGUGAGUAGCGAAAGACGGGUGAGAAUCCCGUCCACCGAUUGACUAAGGUUUCCAGAGGAAGGCUCGUCCGCUCUGGGUUAGUCGGGUCCUAAGCUGAGGCCGGCAGGCGUAGGCGAUGGAUAACAGGUUGAUAUUCCUGUACCACCUAUAAUCGUUUUAAUCGAUGGGGGGACGCAGUAGGAUAGGCGAAGCGUGCGAUUGGAUUGCACGUCUAAGCAGUAAGGCUGAGUAUUAGGCAAAUCCGGUACUCGUUAAGGCUGAGCUGUGAUGGGGAGAAGACAUUGUGUCUUCGAGUCGUUGAUUUCACACUGCCGAGAAAAGCCUCUAGAUAGAAAAUAGGUGCCCGUACCGCAAACCGACACAGGUAGUCAAGAUGAGAAUUCUAAGGUGAGCGAGCGAACUCUCGUUAAGGAACUCGGCAAAAUGACCCCGUAACUUCGGGAGAAGGGGUGCUCUUUAGGGUUAACGCCCAGAAGAGCCGCAGUGAAUAGGCCCAAGCGACUGUUUAUCAAAAACACAGGUCUCUGCUAAACCGUAAGGUGAUGUAUAGGGGCUGACGCCUGCCCGGUGCUGGAAGGUUAAGAGGAGUGGUUAGCUUCUGUGAAGCUACGAAUCGAAGCCCCAGUAAACGGCGGCCGUAACUAUAACGGUCCUAAGGUAGCGAAAUUCCUUGUCGGGUAAGUUCCGACCCGCACGAAAGGCGUAACGAUUUGGGCACUGUCUCAACGAGAG